GACCAUCAACGAGGACCGAGUUCUGCUAAAUGACCGGAAGUAUUUCAUAAGGGUGCCUGAGCUAAUUGACGGUUUGGUGGCCUGGUCGUCUGUCCUGGAGAUCAAGAACGUUUCGCUGAAGGACUACACCACUUACACCUGUGUCGCCGCCAAUUCCAGAGGAUCCUACGCUGUGAAUUACACUCUUGGCUCACCCCUGCCCCCGAAUCCACCUCAGUAUCUCAAUGUCACGACAGUCACAGGUAGUACGGCCUUCCUCUCGUGGGUGCCCCCGGG